GACAGAGGGUGCAAACGUUGCUCGGAAUUACUGGGCGUAAAGCGCGUGUAGGCGGUUCCGCAAGUCAGGUGUGAAAGCCCAGGGCUCAACCCUGGAAGUGCACUUGAUACUACGGAGCUUGAGUACUGAAGAGGAGAGCGGAAUUCCCGGUGUAGAGGUGAAAUUCGUAGAUAUCGGGAGGAACACCAGUGGCGAAGGCGGGUCUCUGGACAGUUCCUGACGCUGAGGCACGAAGGCCAGGGGAGCAAACGGG
rnacentral:rRNA from 1 species